UUCUAUAUGAAGACGGGGUUUUGUAAGUUUACUGAAAGAUGCAAGUUUCACCAUCCAGUUGAUUGGUCUGCACCUGAUUGCAUUGCAAAAUGGAAGGAGAGAGUUCCAAAUACACGGAGCUGGCUCAAUUGUACGAGAAGUACAAGGACCUGGGUUUUGAGAAUUGAGAUCUUUGAUUUCCCAUGCAACCAGUUUGGUGGGUAGGUACCAGCUGGCACUAAUGAGGAAUAUUUGCGCUCGUAAGUCCGAGUAUCCGAUUUUUGACAAGGCAAAUGCGUGCUUGAUACUUCAUCCUUCCUUUGUUUUGUUGGUCUCUCUGUUUCAAGCUGAAAGAAACAAUUGCUUCAGUGUACAAUGUACACUACGACUGCUUCCAUGAACAGUUAUUAUAAUGAUGUUUGCCCGGGCACUUCUGUUGUCUGCACCCCGUCCCACUGAGGUAACAGCAGCUGGAUUGUAUUCAUCCAGCGCACAAUCAGUUCUCUGUAUUGCCAAAUCAAUCAAUCCAACAAGGGUAUGGAGGGAUCCUUCACAAUUUCAUCUAGAUCCGCCCAUGUAUGUGUUAGUGUUCAAGAUCACUGAGGUUAUUUUUGUCGUACUAUCAGGAACUUGUUAAUCGGUGGCACUC